rnacentral:lncRNA from 1 species
CAAGAAUGUAUGUGCCUGAGCGAGCAAGUGUCCUUGGAGGCCAGAGGCUUCGGAUCCCUGGAGUUGAAGUUAUACCUAAAUGUGAACACUUGGCACAGAUGCUGGGAGUCCAUCUCAGCUCCCUGCAGGAAGAGUGUGUGCUCUUGACAAGUGAGCCUCCCCAGCCUUUGUCUGGAUGUCUGAUAAAGCUGGAGUUAUGGAAUUUCUGAUAGUGAUCUUGUUCUUAUGUGACAUCACUGUGACUUAGUGCUGGUGGGCUGACGCUGACUAACUGUAAUCACUUGAUGAAGUGGUAUCUGCCAAGUUUUUCCACCACAGACUUAGUAUUUUCUGCUUUU